GACGAACGCUGGCGGCGUGCCUAAUACAUGCGAGUAGAACGCUGAAGGAGGAGCUUGCUCUUCUGGAUGAGUUGCGAACGGGUGAGUAACGCGUAGGUAACCUGCCUGGUAGCGGGAGAUAACUAUUGGAAACGAUAGCUAAUACCGCAUAAGAGUAGAUGUUGCAUGACAUUUACUUAAAAGGUGCAAUUGCAUCACUACCAGAUGGACCUGCGUUGUAUUAGCUAGUUGGUGGGGUAACGGCUUACCAAGGCGACGAUACAUAGCCGACCUGAGAGGGUGAUCGGCCACACUGGGACUGAGACACGGCCCAGACUCCUACGGGAGGCAGCAGUAGGGAAUCUUCGGCAAUGGACGGAAGUCUGACCGAGCAACGCCGCGUGAGUGAAGAAGGUUUUCGGAUCGUAAAGCUCUGUUGUAAGAGAAGAACGAGUGUGAGAGUGGAAAGUUCACACUGUGACGGUAUCUUACCAGAAAGGGACGGCUAACUACGUG
rnacentral:rRNA from 1 species